AAAGGUUGGUACUUUCAUUGGCGGAACUAAACUGUUAAAAAAACGAAUUCAUUUAAACGGUGAGAAAAUUGAAAAGAUGGAUAUCAAAACAUAAUUUCCAAAUACAUAUAAAAGGCUUCUGCCAGCUUUAUUUUUCUCUCUUUAAAAAAAAAAAAGCCACGCAUAUAAAUAGAGAUAUGAAAUGUUCUAAACGAAUGCAAGCAAUCGUCGAGGAAAACUCAAUAAAAUGCGAACAAGCCUAUAAAAACAAAAAGUCUCGUUUCACAAUAUAUUUGUGUAAAUUUCCAUCUCUAAUCUACCUUACCUGAAUUUGAUUGAUCUAUAACAGGAUCGUCUUCGCUAAUUUCGCCAUCUUCUUUGUCAGAGUCAUUACUCUCAUCUUCUUCAUUCUUCUUUUUUGAUUCUAAAGCCUUUUUUCGCAACUCAUCGAGAUUUAUUGACCGGGACAUUUAUUUACAGCUAAAACUGGGUUAGUAGUGCCAAAUUUCAACAGCAGAUGUUUUGUUUGUAGUACCAGUUAAGACAGUGAAACGCGAAAAACAUUAAAUAUUAUUGCACAUAAAGUUUUUUCACCUCAGAGCAUGUUAUUCCCUAAUAAAGAUAUUGAUGGUUGAAUACUUUCUUAUUUGUUCUAAUGAACUGUCUGAAAUAUGCACUAAGACUCUUUAUUUACAAAACAUUCGGAAUUAGUCUAUUGAACAG